rnacentral:rRNA from 1 species
AUGAACGCUGGCGGCGUGCCUAAUACAUGCAAGUCGAGCGAACAGACGAGGAGCUUGCUCCUCUGACGUUAGCGGCGGACGGGUGAGUAACACGUGGAUAACCUACCUAUAAGACUGGGAUAACUUCGGGAAACCGGAGCUAAUACCGGAUAAUAUAUUGCACCGCAUGGUUCAAUAGUGAAAGACGGUUUUGCUGUCACUUAUAGAUGGAUCCGCGCCGCAUUAGCUAGUUGGUAAGGUAACGGCCUACCAAGGCAACGAUGCGUAGCCGACCUGAGAGGGUGAUCGGCCACACUGGAACUGAGACACGGUCCAGACUCCUACGGGAGGCAGCAGUAGGGAAUCUUCCGCAAUGGGCGAAAGCUUGACGGAGCAACGCCGCGUGAGUGAUGAAGGUCUUCGGAUCGUAAAACUCUGUUAUUAGGGAAGAACAAAUGUGUAAGUAACUAUGCACGUCUUGACGGUACCUAAUCAGAAAGCCACGGCUAACUACGUG